UCAAUUUUCUCUGAAUGUGUGUGGAAUCAAGUUUUUUAUGGUUUUGGGUUUUUUCUAGUCGUGAUAAAAAUUUCGAAUUGUACGUAAUAUGAAUUGUUUCAGAUGCUAUAUGUAGCGUAAUUCCCCGUGGAUUUUCUUAGGUCAUCUGUUUGGCACAUUCGAAAAGAAUAGAAAUCAGGAAGGAGUGAGAAAUGAAAUGAUUUUGUCUAGAAUAUAAAAGGCAACAUUUUUCAAACGUAGAUCAGUUGAUCCUAUAUACAACGUUCCAGACGGUUUCAAAUAACUUUAAUUCCUAAGCAAAUUAAUUGUAAAAAAAAAUACUCUUUUGUUAACAAAAUGAAAGUCAUUUUCGCAAUAUUUGUUGUUUUUGCUUUAGUUAUGUCCACUUUCGCUGUUCCAGCUCCAGGGCACCAUCAUCCAAGCUACAAUCACGGAGGUGGACACAACUAUGGUGGACAUAAUCAUGGCUACCACGGCGGCUUCAAUAACGGCCACAACAACCAUGGAUAUCAUGGUAAGAAACAUAGCCACCAUCAUGGCUAGUCUGACCACUAUUACUACAUGAGAUUCCUUGAAUGUAUUCGUCUUAUGCAAUUGUAUUUAUUCAACAAGAAUUGACGAAAAUAAUUUCAAAUGCAUUUCUUUAUGCUUACAAUUGAAUUUAUUAUUAUUUAAUGUUAAUGAAAAUGUAAAAAAGGGAAAAAAAAUCAAUUAUUGA